rnacentral:tRNA from 1 species
GGGGCUGUAGCUCAGCUGGGAGAGCGCGACAUUCGCAUUGUCGAGGCCGUUCAGCUCCA